rnacentral:rRNA from 1 species
GAUGAACGCUGGCGGCGUGCUUAAUACAUGCAAGUCGAGCGAACAGACGAGGCGCUUGUUCCUUUGACGUUAGCGGCGGACGUGUGUGUAACACGUGUAUCAUCUACUUAUCUUUCUGGUAUCUCUUCGGGACUCCGGCGCUUAUACCGUAGAAUCUAUUGAUCCGUGUUGUUCGUUGGUGAAAUUCGGCUUUUCUGUCUCUACUCGAUGCUUCUGGGCCGCUUUAGCUAGUUGGUAAGUUAACGGCUUACCAAGGCAACGAUGCGUAGCCGACCUGAGAGGGUGAUAGGCCACACUGGAGGUGAGACGCGGACAAGGCGCCUAAGGGAGGGAGCAGUAGGGAAUCUGACGCAAUGGGCGAAAGCAUGACGGAGCAAGGCCGCGUGAGUGAUAAAAGUCUUCGGAGCGUAAAGAUCUGUUAUGAGGGAAGAACAAAUGUGUAAGUAGCUAUGGACGGCGUGACGGUAACUGAUAAGAAAGCAACGGCUAACUACGUG